GUUUGUUCGUCAGCACAUCAUCACGGUUAGCAGUCGUCCUAGAACUGUGAUCAUGUGCUUUAGAAUAAACUGUUUUUCCGAUUGAAUGAGGUCACUGCAAGAUUGAUAGCGUGGCAUGGUAGGUGAUGGUGAGUGAGCUCGGUCAGUUUAGAGUCAAGGAACUGUGUGUGUGUGUGUGUGUGUGUGUGUCCGGUCAGCAGCUCCAUGCCACCAGCUUAACCCCUGGAUUCUCCACAUUCCAGCCCAAAGUCAGGCACAAGUCUCGCCGCCGCUCCGUUGAAGCUUUGACCUUUGACCUGUGGAGUUCUUUCUCGCUGUUGCUGCCAUUCUACGUCACUUUGGGACAUAUUAGUUAAAUACAUCAACUUUUCAGGUGACAGUGAGCACGUUUGUGCUUCUGUUCCACCACAUUCCUCCUGUCUUUGUUUUCUUUGAUUUCUUUGAUUAAACAGCGGCAGAAUCUCACACCACGCUCCUCCACAGUUACCACACGUUUCCUCCAACUGCUUAAGAGCCAUAAAUAGAAAAAUACAUUUUUUUGUUCCUCUGGGUCACAGUAGCCUGAAAUAUGUAUAAAUAUUUCUUAUUUUCUUUCAUUCCUGGCGACUGAUGAGCGUUUUUAGUCUUUAAUCAAACUGCUCUGGGAAACGUUGCAUUCACCCG
ensembl:lncRNA